CACACCAUGGGAGUGGGCUGCAAAAGAAGUAGGUAGUUUAACCUUCGGGGGGACGCUUACCACUUUGUGGUUCAUGACUGGGGUGAAGUCGUAACAAGGUAGCGCUAGGGGAACCUGGCGCUGGAUCACCUCCUUAAACGAUGAU
rnacentral:rRNA from 1 species